rnacentral:rRNA from 1 species
AGCUAAUACCGGAUAGUUCCUUGAACCGCAUGGUUCAAGGAUGAAAGACGGUUUCGGCUGUCACUUACAGAUGGACCCGCGGCGCAUUAGCUAGUUAGUGGGGUAAUGGCUCACCAAGGCGACGAUGCGUAGCCGACCUGAGAGGGUGAUCGGCCACACUGGGACUGAGACACGGCCCAGACUCCCUACGGGAGGCAGCAGUAGGGAAUCUUCCGCAAUGGACGAAAGUCUGACGGAGCAACGCCGCGUGAGUGAUGAAGGUUUUCGGAUCGUAAAGCUCUGUUGUUAGGGAAGACAAGUGCGAGAGUAACUGCUCGCACCUUGACGGUACCUAACCAGAAAGCCACGGCGAACUACGUGCCAGCAGCCGCGGUAAUACGUAGGUGGCAAGCGUUGUCCGGAAUUAUUGGGCGUAAAGGGCUCGCAGGCGGUUUCUUAAGUCUGAUGUGAAAGCCCCCGGCUCAACCGGGGAGGGUCAUUGGAAACUGGGAAACUUGAGUGCAAGUAAGAGGGAGAAUUGAAAUUUCCACCUUGUAUCGGUGAAAUGCGUAGAGAUGUGGAGGAACACCAGUGGCGAAGGCGACUCUCUGGUCUGUAACUGACGCUGAGGAGCGAAAGCGUGGGGAGCGAACAGGAUUAGAUACCCUGGUAGUCCACGCCGUAAACGAUGAGUGCUAAGUGUUAGGGGGUUUCCGCCCCUUAGUGCUGCAGCUAACGCAUUAAGCACUCCGCCUGGGGAGUACGGUCGCAAGACUGAAACUCAAAGGAAUUGACGGGGGCCCGCACAAGCGGUGGAGCAUGUG